UUAAUUCCAAAGUGAAUCUGCUUUUAGUGGCAGCAUCCCUUUGAUUAGUGGGUAGCAGAAACACAGCACACAGCGAGAAGGGAGUGGCCACAGGCAGUGUGAAUGAAGACAAGUCCGCAAAUUCCACACACUGAAUAGACUAUUGUCAACUCAGUUCCUUGAAAAAUGAAAGUGCUGGGUGUUCUCCCCAGGAACACAAAAAUAAGAGAAGAUCUCAUUCAACUCUGACAUUUUACAAAUGAGAUUAUCAUGUUGCAAAGGAAAUAACCAGAAGAUAUCAUUUGACACCAAUUCAUAGCAUUUAUUGACAUUUCCAUUUAAAAUGCUAGGAAAGCUGUAUAAAUUGUAAACAUGGAAACCAAACACUUGCAUAAAUUAUUUCAAAAACUCUACAGCACAUUAGAAAACAGUGCAGCUAAUUGAAGGGUAGAAACAUAACCGACAAAUAGAAGGGAGGGUUCAAUUACUAAAUCAUAUACCCAUACUGAAGUUUAAGUGUCCAUUUGAGACCAGCAAACCAUGAUUGUCAAGUUCAAGUUGCAGUAUUGAGGCCCCAAGGGACCUCAAUUUACUCUGCAUAUUUUCAUACAUUAACACUCAUAAUCUGGGAACGAGAGUGCAGAAAGAGUCAGAAGAACAUGGACCUUGACAAAGGAGGAGGAGACAAGCGGGCAUCCCAGAGCGGCUCUGCUCAGCCCCCCCUUUCCUGUAAGGACAAUGCUGGCCCGGUCUCCAUGCUCCCUCCACGAUGCUCUGAGGGACGGCAAAGUUGAGUUCUUCCUCCCCUUUUCUGAACCAAGCCCUCUGGUGCUUAGAGCAACUGAGCUAAUUGGUGGAGCAUCCAUCCCUCGUGCCUCCUCCUUGCCCCACAGGUCCAGGAGGACCAGUACAGGGUAUCUGGCUUGAACCUGGCCCUCUACUAUCCCUAACUGGCACACUUAGGGAGUCGAGUUACGAAUGCUUGAAAUCUGGUGGGCAUGAGACUACGAUGCUCCAACUUGUCCAGAAAGGUUCCAUGGAAUCAGAGACUCACAUCACUUACAUUUCCAUCUCUGUCCCUUCUACCUAUUCACUCUUUCUUUAAAUGUGAAGUGGCCCCAGAGCAGGAAAACCUGGAGCAAGAAGGAAAAGCAAGGAACGGCAUAAUUACCUACCCUGUAGGAAACUCAUCCGGACUAGAGUGCCUCCAAUUAGGACAUUCACUCCUUCCCUCACUCGCUCGCCGGUUCCUAACUUUGUUUCAUGUUUCCAAAGGCAUUUAAUAUUCUUUUCCUAAAUUUCAAUGCUGCUGCGUGUUCUUAAGAUAAAUUCUCAAGUGUCCUGUUACACACACAGCAUGGAAUUAGGAUCGUACCGUGAGGUUUCAGUUUUCAAGUCUUUUUAAUACUAGAGAAAAAAUCACCUCCAAGAAUAUCAAAAGAAACCUGAAAUAUACACACUCCUUGUUCAUUGGGUGAUGGGUGCAAGCCUAUUACAUUUUAUGAGUAUGUUACAGCAGUUGCUCAUAGAAACUCUUCUCACCUGUUAUCUGUUAACGUGUUGGAUGAAAUGCAAAAAUGAAGUUCAAGUUACCGUCCCAUAAAAACGUGUUUUGGGUUCAAAUGGUCUAUGUGCAGGUAGAGAAGUGGACUUCCCCACACUCCUGUCGGGGACAAAUGUGGAUAAGCAGGCUCUGGAGACUGGCUUUGGAGACUUGCUCUGGAGGUAGAAAUGAAAUGGCUAAAACUCAACUAGCACUGAAAUCAGCAUGGUAGUUAAGACUAGAGCCCUCUUCCCCCCGGCCCAGAACCUUAUCCCGCUUUCCUUCCAACUGACAAAUUCAUUCAUGGCUAAGAAUCUAGUAUGAAAGGGACAGAGAAAUUUAAUGAUUAACCUGUGAAUUACUGCAAAUGCAAAUCAGUGUCCGAGUGAUCGGCUUGGUCACUAGAGCACGAAGAAGUUGUGCCAAUGCAGUAAACACUGACCCU
ensembl:lncRNA